CAAUAGCGUAUAUUUAAGUUGUUGCAGUUAAAAAGCUCGUAGUUGUAUUUCGGAUGGGAUUUGCCGGUCCGUCGUUACGAUGUGCACUGGCCAGUCCUAUCUUGUUGUCGGGGACUAGCUCCUUGGAUUAACUUCCUGGGACUAGGAGCUGACGAGGUUACUUUGAGUAAAUUAGAGUGUUCAAAGCAAGCCUUCGCUCUGAAUACAUUAGCAUGGAAUAACACGACAGGACUCUGGCUUAUCUUGUUGGUCUGUGAGACCAGAGUAAUGAUUAAGAGGGACAGUCGGGGACAUUCGUAUUUCAUUGUCAGAGGUGAAAUUCUUGGAUUUAUGAAAGACGAACUUCUGCGAAAGCAUUUGUCAAGGAUGUUUUCAUUAA
rnacentral:rRNA from 1 species